rnacentral:rRNA from 1 species
GGGUUGUGAGGUUAAGCGACUAAGCGUACACGGUGGAUGCCCUGGCAGUCAGAGGCGAUGAAGGGCGUGCUAAUCUGCGAUAAGCGCCGGUAAGGUGAUAUGAACCGUUAUAACCGGCGAUACCCGAAUGGGGAAACCCAGUGUGAUUCGUCACACUAUCAUUAACUGAAUCCAUAGGUUAAUGAGGCGAACCGGGGGAACUGAAACAUCUAAGUACCCCGAGGAAAAGAAAUCAACCGAGAUUCCCCCAGUAGCGGCGAGCGAACGGGGAGGAGCCCAGAGCCUGAAUCAGCAUGUGUGUUAGUGGAAGCGUCUGGAAAGGCGCGCGAUACAGGGUGACAGCCCCGUACACAAAAGCGCAUGUGCUGUGAGCUCGAUGAGUAGGGCGGGACACGUGGUAUCCUGUCUGAAUAUGGGGGGACCAUCCUCCAAGGCUAAAUACUCCUGACUGACCGAUAGUGAACCAGUACCGUGAGGGAAAGGCGAAAAGAACCCCGGCGAGGGGAGUGAAAAAGAACCUGAAACCGUGUACGUACAAGCAGUGGGAGCACAGGUUUACCUGUGUGACUGCGUACCUUUUGUAUAAUGGGUCAGCGACUUAUAUUCUGUAGCAAGGUUAACCGAAUAGGGGAGCCGGAGGGAAACCGAGUCUUAAUUGGGCGUUAAGUUGCAGGGUAUAGACCCGAAACCCGGUGAUCUAGCCAUGGGCAGGUUGAAGGUUGGGUAACACUAACUGGAGGACCGAACCGACUAAUGUUGAAAAAUUAGCGGAUGACCUGUGGCUGGGGGUGAAAGGCCAAUCAAACCGGGAGAUAGCUGGUUCUCCCCGAAAGCUAUUUAGGUAGCGCCUCGUGAAUUCAUCUCCGGGGGUAGAGCACUGUUUCGGCUAGGGGGCCAUCCCGGCUUACCAACCCGAUGCAAACUGCGAAUACCGGAGAAUGUUAUCACGGGAGACACACGGCGGGUGCUAACGUCCGUCGUGAAGAGGGAAACAACCCAGACCGCCAGCUAAGGUCCCAAAGUCAUGGUUAAGUGGGAAACGAUGUGGGAAGGCCCAGACAGCCAGGAUGUUGGCUUAGAAGCAGCCAUCAUUUAAAGAAAGCGUAAUAGCUCACUGGUCGAGUCGGCCUGCGCGGAAGAUGUAACGGGGCUAAACCAUGCACCGAAGCUGCGGCAGCGACACUGUGUGUUGUUGGGUAGGGGAGCGUUCUGUAAGCCUGUGAAGGUGUGUCGUGAGGCAUGCUGGAGGUAUCAGAAGUGCGAAUGCUGACAUAAGUAACGAUAAAGCGGGUGAAAAGCCCGCUCGCCGGAAGACCAAGGGUUCCUGUCCAACGUUAAUCGGGGCAGGGUGAGUCGACCCCUAAGGCGAGGCCGAAAGGCGUAGUCGAUGGGAAACGGGUUAAUAUUCCCGUACUUGGUGUUACUGCGAAGGGGGGACGGAGAAGGCUAUGUUGGCCGGGCGACGGUUGUCCCGGUUUAAGUGUGUAGGUGUGUGUUCCAGGUAAAUCCGGUUCACUUUAACACUGAGGCGUGACGACGAGGCACUACGGUGCUGAAGCAACAAAUGCCCUGCUUCCAGGAAAAGCCUCUAAGCAUCAGGUAACAUCAAAUCGUACCCCAAACCGACACAGGUGGUCAGGUAGAGAAUACCAAGGCGCUUGAGAGAACUCGGGUGAAGGAACUAGGCAAAAUGGUGCCGUAACUUCGGGAGAAGGCACGCUGACACGUAGGUGAAGUGAUUUACUCAUGGAGCUGAAGUCAGUCGAAGAUACCAGCUGGCUGCAACUGUUUAUUAAAAACACAGCACUGUGCAAACACGAAAGUGGACGUAUACGGUGUGACGCCUGCCCGGUGCCGGAAGGUUAAUUGAUGGGGUCAGCGCAAGCGAAGCUCCUGAUCGAAGCCCCGGUAAACGGCGGCCGUAACUAUAACGGUCCUAAGGUAGCGAAAUUCCUUGUCGGGUAAGUUCCGACCUGCACGAAUGGCGUAAUGAUGGCCAGGCUGUCUCCACCCGAGACUCAGUGAAAUUGAACUCGCUGUGAAGAUGCAGUGUACCCGCGGCAAGACGGAAAGACCCCGUGAACCUUUACUAUAGCUUGACACUGAACAUUGAGCCUUGAUGUGUAGGAUAGGUGGGAGGCUUUGAAGUGUGGACGCCAGUCUGCAUGGAGCCGACCUUGAAAUACCACCCUUUAAUGUUUGAUGUUCUAACGUGGACCCGUUACCCGGGUUGCGGACAGUGUCUGGUGGGUAGUUUGACUGGGGCGGUCUCCUCCUAAAGAGUAACGGAGGAGCACGAAGGUUGGCUAAUCCUGGUCGGACAUCAGGAGGUUAGUGCAAUGGCAUAAGCCAGCUUGACUGCGAGCGUGACGGCGCGAGCAGGUGCGAAAGCAGGUCAUAGUGAUCCGGUGGUUCUGAAUGGAAGGGCCAUCGCUCAACGGAUAAAAGGUACUCCGGGGAUAACAGGCUGAUACCGCCCAAGAGUUCAUAUCGACGGCGGUGUUUGGCACCUCGAUGUCGGCUCAUCACAUCCUGGGGCUGAAGUAGGUCCCAAGGGUAUGGCUGUUCGCCAUUUAAAGUGGUACGCGAGCUGGGUUUAGAACGUCGUGAGACAGUUCGGUCCCUAUCUGCCGUGGGCGCUGGAGAACUGAGGGGGGCUGCUCCUAGUACGAGAGGACCGGAGUGGACGCAUCACUGGUGUUCGGGUUGUCAUGCCAAUGGCACUGCCCGGUAGCUAAAUGCGGAAGAGAUAAGUGCUGAAAGCAUCUAAGCACGAAACUUGCCCCGAGAUGAGUUCUCCCUGAGACUUAGAGUCUCCUGAAGGAACGUUGAAGACGACGACGUUGAUAGGCCGGGUGUGUAAGCGCAGCGAUGCGUUGAGCUAACCGGUACUAAUGAACCGUGAGGCUUAACCUUACAACGCCGAAG